rnacentral:lncRNA from 1 species
CUCUUGUUAAUGAUCAAAGGAAACAAAGAAUCGCCCUCAAGGCAAGCACAAGCCAACCUCUAAAUAACGAGGACGGAGAUAACGAGUUCGGACUCGUAAUUAAGAGAUUUCAAAAGUUCAUCCGAAAAGAGUAUGAACGAAAAGGCAAACAACAAGGAGAUCAAGUAAAGUGCUAUGGGUGCGGAGAAAUCGGGCACAUUAAAUCAAAUUGCCCAAAUGUNNNN